GACGAACGCUGGCGGCGUGGAUUAGGCAUGCAAGUCGAACGGUAUGGACCUUUCGGGGUUCAGAGAGUGGCGAACGGGUGAGUAACACGUAGGUAAUCUACCCUCAAGACGGGGACAACCCAGGGAAACUUGGGCUAAUACCGGAUGUGUGUAGUGGCUAUUUUUCUGAUUAUCAUUAUUUACGUAAGUGAGUAAUAAUAAGAAGGGAAAGUGGUUAUUACAUAAAAGGUGGCGUAAGCUGCCGCUUGGGGAUGAGCCUGCGUCCUAUUAGUUAGUUGGUGAGGUAACGGCUUACCAAGGCGAUGAUAGGUAGGCGGCCUUAACGGGUGGUCGCCCACACUGGGAUUGAGAUACGGCCCAGACUCCUACGGGAGGCAGCAGUCGAGAAUAGUCUACAAUGGACGGAAGUCUGAUAGUGCGACGCCGCGUGAACGAAGAAUCCCUUCGGGGUGUAAAGUUCUUUUAUACGUGAGCAGUGUCCUUUAUAUUAAUAGUAUAAGGGGAGAGAUAUUAGCGUAUGAAUAAGCAACGGCUAA
rnacentral:rRNA from 1 species